rnacentral:rRNA from 1 species
GAUGAACGCUAGCGGCAGGCCUAACACAUGCAAGUCGAGGGGUAGAGUUUCUUCGGAGACUUGAGACCGGCGCACGGGUGCGUAACGCGUAUGCAAUCUGCCCUUUACUGGGGAAUAGCCCGGAGAAAUUCGGAUUAAUGCCCCAUAUGCCCAUGGAACCGCCUGGUUCAGUGGGGAAAGCUGAGGCGGUAAAGGAUGAGCAUGCGUCCCAUUAGCUAGUUGGUGAGGUAACGGCUCACCAAGGCGACGAUGGGUAGGGGGCCUGAGAGGGUGAUCCCCCACACUGGUACUGAGACACGGACCAGACUCCUACGGGAGGCAGCAGCGAGGAAUAUUGGGCAAUGGAGGCAACUCUGACCCAGCCAUGCCGCGUGCAGGAAGACGGCCCUCUGGGUUGUAAACUGCUUUUGUUUGGGAAUAAACCCUUCUACGUGUAGGAGGCUGAAGGUACCAUUCGAAUAAGGAUCGGCUAACUCCGUGCCAGCAGCCGCGGUAAUACGGAGGAUCCAAGCGUUAUCCGGAUUUAUUGGGUUUAAAGGGUCCGUAGGCGGGUCUUUAAGUCAGUGGUGAAAGCCCACAGCUCAACUGUGGAACUGCCAUUGAUACUGGGGGUCUUGAGUGUAGUAGAAGUAGGCGGAAUAGGGCAUGUAGCGGUGAAAUGCAUAGAUAUGCCCUAGAACACCGAUUGCGAAGGCAGCUUACUAUGUUACAACUGACGCUGANGGACGAAAGCGUGGGGAGCAAACAGGAUUAGAUACCCUGGUAGUCCACGCUGUAAACGAUGAUUACUCGCUGUUGGCGACAUACAGUCAGCGGCCAAGCGAAAGCAUUAAGUAAUCCACCUGGGGAGUACNCCCGGCAACGGUGAAACUCAAAGGAAUUGANGGGGGCCCGCACAAGCGGUGGANCAUGNGGUUUAAUUCGAU